rnacentral:rRNA from 1 species
UACGAAGGGGGCGAGCGUUGUUCGGAGUUACUGGGCGUAAAGGGCGCGCAGGCGGCUCUGAAAGUCAGAUGUGAAAGCCCCGGGCUUAACCUGGGAAUUGCAUUUGAUACUCUGGAGCUUGAGUACGGGAGAGGAGAGUGGAAUUCCCAGUGUAGAGGUGAAAUUCGUAGAUAUUGGGAAGAACACCGGUGGCGAAGGCGGCUCUCUGGACCGUAACUGACGCUGAGACGCGAAAGCGUGGGGAGCGAACAGG